ACAGAAGAGGUUCGUGUCGGAAGGUUUAAAUAGACAAGGCUUGGGUCAAAUAAGGCAACGGGGUGGGGCCCGGAGAUGUAUCUGCUUAUUCCCAUCUAAACCCUGAACUGUCCCUGUUAAAUUGGGGAUUUCAAGCUGUUGGGGGUCUUUGGCCGGCGUUUCCUCCCGAAUAAUAAUCAAAAAACGUCGAUGGUUACAUAAGAGACUCAUCUCCACGUAGGACCCAUUGGGUUUGGGCGGGUUGGUUUGUUAGGUGGUUCUGUUGAAACCAGAUUGGUGUCUGCGGUAACCGUUUCCUCGCCUUUCCCUCCCACCCCCAAAUUUUGUUUGUUCUUUCUAAUAUAGUUUUUUUCUUUUUGACAGCAUAUAGGGUUUUUUUUCUUUGUAAAAUCAGAUUAUCUUUUAGAAGAUUUUACUAAAGGAGAACAGAGAAUUCAAUGUUACCUUUAAAUAGUGCAAUUUUUUAUUAAAAUCUGAUAAAAUCUUUCAAUUUAAAAAUGAAAAUUAAUUUCAUUAAAAUAUCUAAACUUCCUAAUUUUGUUUAACGUUUUCGAACAUAACCAAAAAUGUAUUCUAUUGCCAGAGCAUCAGGCGACUCGGUUCCUUUUCUUUCCUCUACUUCUCUUACUUCAUCUAAAGUAACCUAUUUGAUGAAGAUGAUCAAUCAAGUGAAGUUGAUGUUGAGGAAAGAAAGCUGUUAGAACCUGUGACUAAACUCCUCAGACUUAUCUACAGAUGCUGAUGGAAACACAGCGAAAAAUUCUCCACUGAAACUUGCAUCUUGGUAAUUGAUGGCGGCCUCCACAUUUGUAGAACCCAAUUAAGAAGUAAGAGUGCUUCUGAUAACACAUCAUAUUGAGCAGAAGAUCCAGUCCAGGUAUACCAGUUUAUAUAUAUUCCCUGUGUUGCACAUUUGAUGGAAAUACAAUAUUUCCCUCUUCAUGUACUAUACUGGGAAAGAAGUGUCAGAAGAAGCUGAUAAACCACUUGCAAGAACUGCGUCUACAGCUCAAACACAUCUGCUGGUUCACAUGAUUGGCAGUCUUUACCUUCCUAUCAUUGUUGAGAUUUAAAUGUACAAUACAAUCUUUAAAAAAAAACUAGAGGCAAAAUAAAGAAGAAAUGACACAAUAAAAUAUCAUAUAAAUACUUUUAAUCAAGUAAAA
rnacentral:lncRNA from 1 species